UACGUAUGGAGCAAGCGUUAUCCGGAUUUACUGGGUGUAAAGGGAGCGCAGGCGGCUUUGCAAGUCUGAUGUGAAAGGCCGGGGCUCAACCCCGGGACUGCAUUGGAAACUGUAAAGCUAGAGUGCCGGAGAGGUAAGCGGAAUUCCUAGUGUAGCGGUGAAAUGCGUAGAUAUUAGGAGGAACACCAGUGGCGAGGGCGGCUUACUGGACGGCAACUGACGCUGAGGCUCGAAAGCGUGGGGAGCAAACAGG
rnacentral:rRNA from 1 species